UAAAAUCUACAGGGGUUUAACCCAAAUCUCUCGCAUGCAAAACAAGCACUUUAAUUAAGCUAAAGUUUUA
rnacentral:tRNA from 1 species